GGGGGUAAAUUUAAUAAAUAUAAAAACUAAUAAAAAGAAAUUUAUUAUUAAAAAUAUAUAAUGGGGGUUAAAGUAUUUUUAAUAGAAAAAAUUUAUAAAUUUAUAGUUUAAUAGUAUUGUAAAAGAAAAUUUAAAUAAAUGAAAAAUAAAAUUUUAAUUAAAGUAAAUUUAAUUUAUUGUAUCUUGUGUAUCAGAGUUUAUUAAAUAAAAAUUUUUGAAUAAAAAAUUCUCGAAUUUAAAAGAGUUAAUUAAUUAAAAAAGUUAAUGUUGAAUAAUUAUUUUUAAUAACUAAUUAGAAAUGAAAUGUUAAUCGUUUUUAAAUAUAUCUAGUUUUUUUAGAAAAAAAUUUAAUUUUAAAUUAAAAUAAUUUUAUAAUUAAUUAAUUAAUUAUAUAAAUUUUAUAUUCAAUAUUUUGGGGGAUAAGCUUUAAAUUAAAAAAUUAUAAUUUUUUUUUUUAAUUGAAAUUUUUAAUAUUUAUAUUGUUUAUAAAUUAUAAUUUAUUAUAAAAAAUUUUAAUUAAAUUAAAAUUUAAAUAUAAAUUUAAUUUUUUAUAAAAAAAUUAUUUUUAACAAUAAAAAAUUAGAAAUAAUGAUAAAAUUAGUAUAAUAUAAUAAAAAAAAAUAAAAUUAUUAAAAGCUAAAUUAAAGGAAUUCGGCAAAAAUUUAUAUUCACUUGUUUAUCAAAAACAUGUCUUUUUGAUUAAUAAUUUAAAGUCUAAUCUGCCCACUGAUAUUAAUUAAAGGGCUGCAGUAUAUUGACUGUACAAAGGUAGCAUAAUCAUUAGUCUUUUAAUUGGAGACUUGUAUGAAAGAUUUAAUGAAAUAUAAACUGUCUCUAUUUUAUCAAUAAAAUUUAAUAUUUUAGUUAAAAAGCUAAAAUAAAAUUAAAAGACGAGAAGACCCUAUAGAGUUUUAUAUUUUACUUUAUUGUAAUAAAAUAUAUAAUUAAUUAUUAUAAUAAAAUAAAAUAUUUCAUUGGGGUGAUGAAAAAAUUUAAUAAACUUUUUUUUUUAUUUGACAUGAAUAAGUGAUUAAAUGAUCCAUAAUUUUAUGAUUAUAAGAAAAAAUUACCUUAGGGAUAACAGCGUAAUAUUUUUUUUUAGUACAAAUAAAAAAAAAAGUUUGCGACCUCGAUGUUGGAUUAAGAUAAAAAUUAAAUGCAAAAGUUUAAAAUUUUUGAUCUGUUCGAUCAUUAAAAUCUUACAUGAUCUGAGUUCAAACCGGUGUAAGCCAGGUUGGUUUCUAUCUUUAGUGAAUUAUAAUAUUUUA
rnacentral:rRNA from 1 species